rnacentral:rRNA from 1 species
AGCGUACACGGUGGAUGCCCUGGCAGUCAGAGGCGAUGAAGGACGUGCUAAUCUGCGAUAAGCGCCGGUAAGGUGAUAUGAACCGUUAUAACCGGCGAUUUCCGAAUGGGGAAACCCAGUGUGAUUCGUCACACUAUCAUUAACUGAAUCCAUAGGUUAAUGAGGCGAACCGGGGGAACUGAAACAUCUAAGUACCCCGAGGAAAAGAAAUCAACCGAGAUUCCCCCAGUAGCGGCGAGCGAACGGGGAGGAGCCCAGAGCCUGAAUCAGCAUGUGUGUUAGUGGAAGCGUCUGGAAAGGCGCGCGAUACAGGGUGACAGCCCCGUACACAAAAGCGCAUGUGUUGUGAGCUCGAUGAGUAGGGCGGGACACGUGGUAUCCUGUCUGAAUAUGGGGGGACCAUCCUCCAAGGCUAAAUACUCCUGACUGACCGAUAGUGAACCAGUACCGUGAGGGAAAGGCGAAAAGAACCCCGGCGAGGGGAGUGAAAAAGAACCUGAAACCGUGUACGUACAAGCAGUGGGAGCUGAGGGAAAGGCGAAAAGAACCCCGGCGAGGGGAGUGAAAAAGAACCUGAAACCGUGUACGUACAAGCAGUGGGAGCCCCACCACUAAGCCAGUGGUGAACUCCACAUACGCAUCCUUUGCUGAGGAUACGGUUAACGGAGCGCAAGCGACGUUCAACCGCAAAAGAAGCAGAGGGGGCUUAGUGGUGGGGUGACUGCGUACCUUUUGUAUAAUGGGUCAGCGACUUAUAUUCUGUAGCAAGGUUAACCGUAUAGGGGAGCCGGAGGGAAACCGAGUCUUAAUUGGGCGUUAAGUUGCAGGGUAUAGACCCGAAACCCGGUGAUCUAGCCAUGGGCAGGUUGAAGGUUGGGUAACACUAACNGUAAUAGCUCACUGGUCGAGUCGGCCUGCGCGGAAGAUGUAACGGGGCUAAACCAUGCACCGAAGCUGCGGCAGCGAACGUAUCACUUAAAGCGAUUCAGCGGGUUACGAUUGACGGAGCGAAGCGACGUCAAAGCGUAUACAAAGUCGAGUCGGUUUAAGGAUACGUUCGUUGGGUAGGGGAGCGUUCUGUAAGCCUGUGAAGGUGUGUCGUGAGGCAUGCUGGAGGUAUCAGAAGUGCGAAUGCUGACAUAAGUAACGAUAAAGCGGGUGAAAAGCCCGCUCGCCGGAAGACCAGGGCGUUAAGUUGCAGGGUAUAGACCCGAAACCCGGUGAUCUAGCCAUGGGCAGGUUGAAGGUUGGGUAACACUAACUGGAGGACCGAACCGACUAAUGUUGAAAAAUUAGCGGAUGACCUGUGGCUGGGGGUGAAAGGCCAAUCAAACCGGGAGAUAGCUGGUUCUCCCCGAAAGCUAUUUAGGUAGCGCCUCGUGAAUUCAUCUCCGGGGGUAGAGCACUGUUUCGGCUAGGGGGCCAUCCCGGCUUACCAACCCGAUGCAAACUGCGAAUACCGGAGAAUGUUAUCACGGGAGACACACGGCGGGUGCUAACGUCCGUCGUGAAGAGGGAAACAACCCAGACCGCCAGCUAAGGUCCCAAAGUCAUGGUUAAGUGGGAAACGAUGUGGGAAGGCCCAGACAGCCAGGAUGUUGGCUUAGAAGCAGCCAUCAUUUAAAGAAAGCGUAAUAGCUCACUGGUCGAGUCGGCCUGCGCGGAAGAUGUAACGGGGCUAAACCAUGCACCGAAGCUGCGGCAGCGAACGUAUCACUUAAAGCGAUUCAGCGGGUUACGAUUGACGGAGCGAAGCGACGUCAAAGCGUAUACAAAGUCGAGUCGGUUUAAGGAUACGUUCGUUGGGUAGGGGAGCGUUCUGUAAGCCUGUGAAGGUGUGUCGUGAGGCAUGCUGGAGGUAUCAGAAGUGCGAAUGCUGACAUAAGUAACGAUAAAGCGGGUGAAAAGCCCGCUCGCCGGAAGACCAAGGGUUCCUGUCCAACGUUAAUCGGGGCAGGGUGAGUCGACCCCUAAGGCGAGGCCGAAAGGCGUAGUCGAUGGGAAACGGGUUAAUAUUCCCGUACUUGGUGUUACUGCGAAGGGGGGACGGAGAAGGCUAUGUUGGCCGGGCGACGGUUGUCCCGGUUUAAGCGUGUAGGUGUGUGUUCCAGGUAAAUCCGGUUCACUUUAACACUGAGGCGUGAUGACGAGGCACUACGGUGCUGAAGCAACAAAUGCCCUGCUUCCAGGAAAAGCCUCUAAGCAUCAGGUAACAUCAAAUCGUACCCCAAACCGACACAGGUGGUCAGGUAGAGAAUACCAAGGCGCUUGAGAGAACUCGGGUGAAGGAACUAGGCAAAAUGGUGCCGUAACUUCGGGAGAAGGCACGCUGACAUGUAGGUGAAGUGAUUUACUCAUGGAGCUGAAGUCAGUCGAAGAUACCAGCUGGCUGCAACUGUUUAUUAAAAACACAGCACUGUGCAAACACGAAAGUGGACGUAUACGGUGUGACGCCUGCCCGGUGCCGGAAGGUUAAUUGAUGGGGUCAGCGCAAGCGAAGCUCCUGAUCGAAGCCCCGGUAAACGGCGGCCGUAACUAUAACGGUCCUAAGGUAGCGAAAUUCCUUGUCGGGUAAGUUCCGACCUGCACGAAUGGCGUAAUGAUGGCCAGGCUGUCUCCACCCGAGACUCAGUGAAAUUGAACUCGCUGUGAAGAUGCAGUGUACCCGCGGCAAGACGGAAAGACCCCGUGAACCUUUACUAUAGCUUGACACUGAACAUUGAGCCUUGAUGUGUAGGAUAGGUGGGAGGCUUUGAAGUGUGGACGCCAGUCUGCAUGGAGCCGACCUUGAAAUACCACCCUUUAAUGUUUGAUGUUCUAACGUGGACCCGUAAUCCGGGUUGCGGACAGUGUCUGGUGGGUAGUUUGACUGGGGCGGUCUCCUCCUAAAGAGUAACGGAGGAGCACGAAGGUUGGCUAAUCCUGGUCGGACAUCAGGAGGUUAGUGCAAUGGCAUAAGCCAGCUUGACUGCGAGCGUGACGGCGCGAGCAGGUGCGAAAGCAGGUCAUAGUGAUCCGGUGGUUCUGAAUGGAAGGGCCAUCGCUCAACGGAUAAAAGGUACUCCGGGGAUAACAGGCUGAUACCGCCCAAGAGUUCAUAUCGACGGCGGUGUUUGGCACCUCGAUGUCGGCUCAUCACAUCCUGGGGCUGAAGUAGGUCCCAAGGGUAUGGCUGUUCGCCAUUUAAAGUGGUACGCGAGCUGGGUUUAGAACGUCGUGAGACAGUUCGGUCCCUAUCUGCCGUGGGCGCUGGAGAACUGAGGGGGGCUGCUCCUAGUACGAGAGGACCGGAGUGGACGCAUCACUGGUGUUCGGGUUGUCAUGCCAAUGGCACUGCCCGGUAGCUAAAUGCGGAAGAGAUAAGUGCUGAAAGCAUCUAAGCACGAAACUUGCCCCGAGAUGAGUUCU